rnacentral:rRNA from 1 species
GACGGAGGAUGCAAGUGUUAUCCGGAAUCACUGGGCGUAAAGCGUCUGUAGGUGGUCAAAUAAGUCAACUGUUAAAUCUUGAGGCUCAACCUCAAAAUCGCAGUCGAAACUAUUAGGCUAGAGUAUAGUAGGGGUAAAGGGAAUUUCCAGUGGAGCGGUGAAAUGCGUAGAGAUUGGAAAGAACACCGAUGGCGAAGGCGCUUUACUGGGCUAUUACUAACACUCAGAGACGAAAGCUAGGGUAGCAAAUGGG